rnacentral:lncRNA from 1 species
AUGCUGCAGGAGGGCAGGGACCUGAGCAGGGAGCAAUGCCCAGGUCUUGGUGCACUGGGUGAAAAAGCCAUCAUGCUCCAUCACUCCCAUUACCACUUGUCAUCUAACCGCUUACAUAAGCCUGUGACCUCUGAAAUAAAAACAUUUACUUGCACUUGGGUAGAGCUGGUUGGUUGGAAGAGAACUUGGAGAAGGAAAUUGGAAAAGCAGUCACAGAAGCAAGCUUCCAGAAUGUGUCUUUUUGGUUUUCCUUUCAACUUUGCUAUUUCCUCUAGUCAACCACUGCUUCCCCAUCAAACAAAAAAAUUCCAACCAGCAAAAUUAAUUUGUUUAACAUUUUCACAUGUCCUCCAGCACACAGGACUCCUAUAGCUCAUGAGACCACCUAAAGUUUUGCUAAGCACAGAUCAAGAGCACAUAAAUAACUGGAAAAAAGAAUUCACAUUAUGUUGUGCACAUUAAUUUAAAUUUGCUACUAAAUGUAUAAAUAGGUCUAGAGAACUGGGUAUUUCUAACAUGCCAAUUAUCUUUGUACUGUCGUACCCCACUCGUUAUCAAAAAUAGCUUCACUUCAGACCAAAAAAGUAAUUUUCUUCUUGUAUGUGGCUUUCUCAAAUGGGUUUAUUUUCACUUGCAGUAGAAGGGAUGUUUUAACCAACCUUCAAUGUGAUUUUUGGAAAAUACAGUACCCCCCAAAGGCAGCUUGUGCAUAUUAAACCAUGAGCAUCUGUUUGGGUCCAUGGGAGUAUUUAGGCUGGUGACAAGCACUUUGCAAAGUGACAAAGUGAGCUCAGCUGCAUGAGCCAGGCCAGGAAAGACCUACAAUCUAUCCUGACCACUCUAAUUUUGAUGCAAGAAGAUCGAUAGGCUCAACCAUUCACAAAAGUAUUCCUGAUCACAGAGACUGUAAAAAAUGUUUUUGUGUAAUUCAGGUGCCAAAAUCAUUGGGAUGCACAUGUGGACACGGGAAAGGGUAACAUUUCCUUCUGGGUCAGCCAUAGAGGAGCUCUGGAGCAGAGGUUGUGGCUUUAUUUAAAAAAAAUCCUUCCAACAGACAGCAAUUUAUCCCAUCACAAGAGUAAUUUUGUGAAAGGAGUGCACACUUCUGCACUCAUAAAAAAUGUCCUAAGUUAAACCAGCCUCUGGAACCCCAUCUGGCAUUUUGGUGGUGGUUCUCUU